rnacentral:rRNA from 1 species
UACAGAGGGUGCAAGCGUUAAUCGGAAUUACUGGGCGUAAAGCGUGCGUAGACGGUUGCGUAAGUCGGAUGUGAAAUCCCCGGGCUCAACCUGGGAAUUGCAUUCGAGACUGCGUAGCUGGGGUGCGGAAGAGGGAAGCGGAAUUUCCGGUGUAGCGGUGAAAUGCGUAGAUAUCGGAAGGAACAUCAGUGGCGAAAGCGGCUUCCUGGUCCAGCACCGACGUUCAGGCACGAAAGCGUGGGGAGCAAACAGG